CCCGGAGUCCCUGCGCCGAUCUGCAACCACGGCCGCGCGCACAGGUUCCGCUGGCGACCCAAGCGCCUCGUUCACCUGCACCUGGGCGGGUUACCUGUGUCACUUACCUCAACUCUCACAGGGUGGUGAUGUCAGAGAAGCCCAAAGAAGACAGUUUAAAUGAAGAAAUAGGUGGUAGUGGUGUCACACGCUGGAAGAGGUCAGGCUUUCAUGGAGUAGGAGCAGAAACCAAGUUGUAGUGGAUUGUGGACAGAAAGGAAGGAAGAAAAAAAGGAGUGCAUGGAUGAGAAUGAAGCAGAGAGAAUGGUGUCUGAGGCUGCCACUUCCCGUGAAAAGUAGAAGUCAAAGUUGUCUGCUAUGAAGAUUAAAUGAGUUAAUACACAUAAAGUUCUUUGCACAUAAAAUGCUUUGUCACAUAACAAACGCCCAAUAAAUGUUAUUGUUGGUGUUAGUGGUGAUAUCUGUUGAGAGAGAGGUGGCUGGAGCAAGGAGUUUGAUCCAAAUGGAUGAUGGAAACUAGCCAGAUGUAUGGAAGGACAACUGACCUGUCUGAGGUUGAAAGCUUUCUUUUUCUAUUUUUAAAAAUUAAAUUAUAAUUUUUAUUUUGAGAUAUAGAUACAUAUGUAAUCAUAAGAAAUAGCACAUAGAGAUCCUGUAUAUCUUUUAUCCAGUUGCCCCCAAUAAUAACAUUUUGCAAAACUACAGUACAGUAUCACAACCAGGAUAUUGACACAUACAGUCAAGACAUUGCGUUUCCAUCACCUCAAAGAUCCUUCAUGUUGCAGUUUUGUAGCCAAACCCACUUCACUCCAGCCUCCACCCGCUCCUUAACCCAUAGCAGCUACUAAUCUGUUCUCCAUUUUUAGAUUCUUGUCAUUUUAAGAACUUUAUAUAAAUGGAGGCAUUCAGUAUGCCAACUUCUCGGACUGGCUUUUUUUCACUCAGCCUGGAGAUCCUUCCAAGUUUUAUGUGUCUCGAUAGUUUGUUCCUUUUUAUUGCUGUGAUAUGGAUGUACCACAGUUUAACUGUUUAUUGAAGAACAUCUGGGUUGCUUCAAGUUUUUGUCUAUUACAAAUAAAAGUGCUACGGAAAUUUGUGUAUAGUUUUUGUG